AUUGAACGCUGGCGGCAUGCCUUACACAUGCAAGUCGAACGGUAACAGGUCUUCGGAUGCUGACGAGUGGCGAACGGGUGAGUAAUACAUCGGAACGUGCCCGAUCGUGGGGGAUAACGAAGCGAAAGCUUUGCUAAUACCGCAUACGAUCUACGGAUGAAAGCAGGGGACCGCAAGGCCUUGCGCGAACGGAGCGGCCGAUGGCAGAUUAGGUAGUUGGUGGGAUAAAAGCUUACCAAGCCGACGAUCUGUAGCUGGGCUGAGAGGACGACCAGCCACACUGGGAGUGAGACAAGGCCCAGACUCCUACGGGAGGCAGCAGUGGGGAAUUUUGGACAAUGGGCGCAAGCCUGAUCCAGCAAUGCCGCGUGCAGGAUGAAGGCCUUCGGGUUGUAAACUGCUUUUGUACGGAACGAAAAGCCCUGGGUUAAUACCCUGGGGUCAUGACGGUACCGUAAGAAUAAGCACCGGCUAACUACGUGCCAGCCGCCGCAGUAA
rnacentral:rRNA from 1 species